rnacentral:ncRNA from 1 species
ACGAAGAUCCCAUUGGAUUCCGGAAGCUCGUAGCAUUGGUCCCGAUAAACCCCAAUUUAUUGAGAAUAAAAACCCGUCCUCAGUUCAGAUUGCAGGCUGCAACUCGCCUGCAUGAAGCCGGAAUCGCUAGUAAUCGCCGGUCAGCCAUACGGCGGUGAAUUC